rnacentral:rRNA from 1 species
GCUCUAUAACCCUUUGUGAACAUACCUAUAACUGUUGCUUCGGCGGGUAGGGUCUCCGUGACCCUCCCGGCCUCCCGCCCCCGGGCGGGUCGGCGCCCGCCGGAGGAUAACCAAACUCUGAUUUAACGACGUUUCUUCUGAGUGGUACAAGCAAAUAAUCAAAACUUUUAACAACGGAUCUCUUGGUUCUGGCAUCGAUGAAGAACGCAGCGAAAUGCGAUAAGUAAUGUGAAUUGCAGAAUUCAGUGAAUCAUCGAAUCUUUGAACGCACAUUGCGCCCGCCAGCAUUCUGGCGGGCAUGCCUGUUCGAGCGUCAUUUCAACCCUCAAGCUCUGCUUGGUGUUGGGGCCCUACAGCUGAUGUAGGCCCUCAAAGGUAGUGGCGGACCCUCCCGGAGCCUCCUUUGCGUAGUAACUUUACGUCUCGCACUGGGAUCCGGAGGGACUCUUGCCGUAAAACCCCCAAUUUUCCAAAGGUUGACCUCGGAUCAGGUAGGAAUACCCGCUGAACUUAAGCAUAUCAAUAAGCGGAGGAAAAGAAACCAACAGGGAUUGCCUCAGUAACGGCGAGUGAAGCGGCAACAGCUCAAAUUUGAAAUCUGGCCCUAGGCCCGAGUUGUAAUUUGCAGAGGAUGCUUUUGGUGCGGUGCCUUCCAAGUUCCCUAGAACGGGACGCCAGAGAGGGUGAGAGCCCCGUACAGUUGGACACCAAGCCUUUGUAAAGCUCCUUCGACGAGUCGAGUAGUUUGGGAAUGCUGCUCAAAAUGGGAGGUAUAUUUCUUCUAAAGCUAAAUACCGGCCAGAGACCGAUAGCGCACAAGUAGAGUGAUCGAAAGAUGAAAAGCACUUUGAAAAGAGGGUUAAACAGCACGUGAAAUUGUUAAAAGGGAAGCGCUUGUGACCAGACUUGCGUCCGGUGAAUCACCCAGCUCUCGCGGCUGGGGCACUUCGCCGGCUCAGGCCAGCAUCAGCUCGCUGUCGGGGACAAAAGCUUCAGGAACGUAGCUCUCUUCGGGGAGUGUUAUAGCCUGUUGCAUAAUACCCUUCGGCGGGCUGAGGUACGC